UACGGGGGGGGAAGCGUUGUUCGGAAUUACUGGGCGUAAAGGGCUCGUAGGUGGCCAACUAAGUCAGACGUGAAAUCCCUCAGCUUAACUGGGGAACUGCGUCUGAUACUGGAUGGCUUGAGUUUGGGAGAGGGAUGCGGAAUUCCAGGUGUAGCGGUGAAAUGCGUAGAUAUCUGGAGGAACACCGGUGGCGAAGGCGGCAUCCUGGACCAACACUGACACUGAGGAGCGAAAGCCAGGGGAGCAAACGGG
rnacentral:rRNA from 1 species